UUGUGCACAGAACAUAAGAAGAAAAAUAAAUAAAUAAAUAAAAGGGAGACUCCCUUUUCUCUGCUAGGGUUCCAAACUUGGAACCCCGCCGCCGUCUGCCGCAUCUCCAUCGCAGCGCCACCAAGGACGGUGGCCGGAGUCAUGCGAGAAAAAGGGGUUUUUAACCCUCAUCGUGUGGCAUCCUUGAGAUCUCAGAUCUCUCAACCAGCGGGGAAGAGGGAAACCCACAACCCCUCUCGGACCCGAACCGACGACGGAGGAGAAGCCCUCCGACGGCGCAACCACGGUGGUUCCCGGUGAGUCCUCUUUCCCUUUUUUUCUAUUUAAUAUACGAAAUAAAGAAAAUAAAAUAAAAUAAAAUAAAAGAGAAAUACGGAUCUGAUAUCAAACCCUUGAAUCUGUUUUUUGAUUAUUUUAUUUCUUUCUGCUAAUGUCUUUUUUCAAAAAUCGGGACUCCCGAUUACAGUGAUGAAGCCCCCUGAUACAAAGGUUUCAAUCGGUUUGUAUACCGAUUUCAAAAAACAAAAGUCCCCCUUUACAUUGUAAUUUUCAAGGCUUAUAAAGCCGAAAAUCAACCCAUUCUCUGCCCCCUUUUGUUGCUUUUAUUUCCCUUUUUUAUGUUGCUUGCAGGUACUUGACGAAGGCAGAGGUGUGGCUUGCCGUUUUGGUGUAAGGUCGAUUGGCGGUGGCAGACCUCGAGCGUGGUGCACGCUGAAGGCGCACAUGGAGGCAGCGGCGCCUUAGGGUUUCAAUUCCUGUUGAAACCAGUUAAGGUUUCGGGCCGUUUGGGCCAUUAAUUUGUUUGGGCUUGUGGGUUCAUUGGGCUGAAAAUUGGGUUUGUCUGUUAUUGUAAUUGGGUCAGUAAAUUUUUUGUUUAUAUGGGCCCGGGCAAAAUAAGGUCUGUACAUUCAUUAUUUUGGUAAUUAAUGGUUAAGUUGUUAAGUUAAAUGCUUGAG
rnacentral:lncRNA from 1 species